UACAGAGGGUGCAAGCGUUAAUCGGAAUUACUGGGCGUAAAGGGCUCGUAGGCGGCCAACUAAGUCAGACGUGAAAUCCCUCAGCUUAACUGGGGAACUGCGUCUGAUACUGGAUGGCUUGGAUCCGGGAGAGGGAUGCGGAAUUCCAGGUGUAGCGGUGAAAUGCGUAGAUAUCUGGAGGAACACCGGUGGCGAAGGCGGCAUCCUGGACCGAGAUUGACGCUGAUGCGCGAAAGCCAGGGGGCAACAG
rnacentral:rRNA from 1 species